UUACAGCCCUGAUAAAAAUGAUGCAAAUUAUUGGUUGAAAUAAAAGGAUUAAUAAAUGGAAUAGUUUUGACUGUGUUGAAUGUUUGGUCUCCAAGGUAAAGGUCAGACAAGGUCAACAUCUGUUGGAUUCUAUAACAUGUGACACGUUACCCUGUAACAUAAUAACUAAGUAUGACAGAUGGUGCAAA